AUAUUGGACAAUGGGGGCAACCCUGAUCCAGCCAUGCCGCGUGAGUGAUGAAGGCCUUCGGGUUGUAAAGCUCUUUUGGCGGGGACGAUGAUGACGGUACCCGCAGAAUAAGCCCCGGCUAACUUCGUGCCAGCAGCCGCGGUAAUACAGAGGAUGCAAGUGUUAUUCGGAAUUAUUGGGCGUAAAGCGUCUGUAGGCUGGCAAUUUAGUCUUUUGUUAAAUUUUUAGGCUUAACCUAAAAGCUGCAAAAGAAACUGAUUGUCUGGAGUUUGGCAGAGGUAAAGGGAAUUUCCAGUGGAGCGGUGAAAUGCGUAGAUAUUGGAAAGAACACCGAAGGCGAAGGCACUUUACUGGACCAGUACUGACGCUGAGAGACGAAAGCUAGGGGAGCAAACGGG
rnacentral:rRNA from 1 species